UAGGGGUCACAUGGCCGUGUGGCCAGGCCAUGUAACUCGCACAGCCAAGAGACACGCCCGUGUCUUAGGCUGUGUAGGCAUUCGAAAUAGGGACACACGGCUGUGUCCCAGUCCGUGACCGUUCCCGUGUAACUCACUGACUUGGAUCACACGACCAAACCACACGCCCAUGCGUAAAACCUGAUACACGGCUGAGAUAUAUGCCCCUGUCUCUGCCCG
rnacentral:lncRNA from 1 species